AGGGUGUAAACGCUGCGGGCUUGGUGUUGGGGGUCCUUAGUGGGCGCCCAGUGCCGGAGAGAAGUUGUUAAGCCUGCUGCUUGGGGAGUAUGUCCGCAAGGAUGAAACUUAAAGGAAUUGGCGGGGGAGCACCGCAACGGGAGGAGCGUGCGGUUCAAUUGGAUUCAACGCCGAAAAACUCACCAGGAGCGACGGAUAUAUGAAGGUCAAGCUGAUGACUUUACCUGAUUUCCGAGAGGUGGUGCAUGGCGUGUGACUGU
rnacentral:rRNA from 1 species